GAUGAACGCUGGCGGCGUGCCUAAUACAUGCAAGUCGAGCGAACAGAUCAGGAGCUUGCUCCUUUGACGUUAGCGGCGGACGGGUGAGUAACACGUGGGUAACCUACCUAUAAGACUGGAAUAACUACGGGAAACCGGGUCUAAUGCCGGAUAACAUGUUGAACCGCAUGGUUCUACAGUUAAAGGCGGCUUUGCUGUCACUUAUAGCUGGACCCGCGCCGUAUUAGCUAGUUGGUGAGGUAACGGCUCACCAAGGCAACGAUACGUAGACGACCUGAGAGGGUGGUCGCCCACACGGGAAGUGAGACAGGGCACAGACUCCUGCGGGAGGCAGCAGUCGGGAAUCUUACGGAAGGGGGGAGAGGCUGACAGAGGAACGUGGGGGGAGUGAUGAAGGAGCUCGGAUGGUAAAACGCUGUUAGUAGUGAAGAACAAAUGCGUAAGUAACUGUGAGGGUAUUGACGGUACCUAGUCAGAAAGCCACGGCUAACUACGUG
rnacentral:rRNA from 1 species